rnacentral:rRNA from 1 species
GACGAACGCUGGCGGCGUGCUUAACACAUGCAAGUCGAACGGAAAGGCCUGCUUUCCCUUGUGGAUUGCGGGUACUCGCGUGGCGAACGGGUGAGUAACACGUGAGUGAUCUGCCCCCAACUUGGGUAUAAGCCUGGGAAACUGGGUCUAAUUCCCGAUAGGACCGCAGGGUGGUGCCUGUGGUGGCAAACGAUUUUCUAGUGGUCGGGGCUGAGCUCUCGGCCUAUCAGCUUGUUGGUGGGGGAAUGGCCUACCAGGGGGGCGCCGGGGAGCCGGCCUGGGGGGGUGGACGGCCGCAUUGGGACUGAGAUACGGCCCAGACUCCUACGGGAGGCAGCAGUGGGGAAUAAUGCACGAUGGGCGGAAGCCUGAUGCAGCGACGCCGCGUGGGGGAUGACGGCCUUCGGGUUGUAAACUCCUUUCGACCGCGAGGAAGCCACCUGGUUGGAAGGGUGGUGACGGUAGUGGUAGAAGAAGCACCGGCUAACUACGUG